GGUGUAUCGGUGACUACGAGUCACCGUAGGUGCCGAAGAGAAACCGUGAAACGUGCCGCCUGGGAAGUACGGUCGCAAGGCUGAAACUUAAAGGAAUUGGCGGGGGAGCACCACAACAGGUGGAGCCUGCGGUUUAAUCGGACUCAACGCCGGGAAGCUCACCGGAUAAGACAGCUGAAUGAUAGCCGGGCUGAAGACUCUGCUUGACUAGCUGAGAGGAGGUGCAUGGCA
rnacentral:rRNA from 1 species